GAUGAACGCUGGCGGCGUGCCUAUUACAUGCAAGUCGAGCGAACGGACGAGAAGCUUGCUUCUCUGAUGUUAGCGGCGGACGGGUGAGUAACACGUGGAUAACCUACCUAUAAGACUGGGAUAACUUCGGGAAACCGGAGCUAAUACCGGAUAAUAUUUUGAACCGCAUGGUUCAAAAGUGAAAGACGGUCUUGCUGUCACUUAUAGAUGGAUCCGCGCUGCAUUAGCUAGUUGGUAAGGUAACGGCUUACCAAGGCAACGAUGCAUAGCCGACCUGAGAGGGUGAUCGGCCACACUGGAACUGAGACACGGUCCAGACUCCUACGGGAGGCAGCAGUAGGGAAUCUUCCGCAAAGGGCGAAAGCCUGACGGAGCAACGCCGCGUGAGUGAUGAAGGUCUUCGGAUCGUAAAACUCUGUUAUUAGGGAAGAACAUAUGUGUAAGUAACUGUGCACAUCUUGACGGUACCUAAUCAGAAAGCCACGGCUAACUACGUG
rnacentral:rRNA from 1 species